AAGGACACGUACAAAAUCAAUUCUGAAACUAGAGACACAAGUCUUGUAGGACGGCAGUAAGCAGAGGUCUGGGUGGAGGAUGUUCCUGAUCGCUGUUUUGCUUUCUUCAGCACCACGGGGUGUCCAGGUGGAUGGCAGCUCUGUCCUGAUGAUCUGCUGUGCACUUUUCAGAUUAGGGGUCCUUCUCCAGCAGAUCCAUUCCUCCAGAAUUGUCCUAAUUACAGAGAAAAACAAGAGAAAAAG